rnacentral:rRNA from 1 species
GAUAAACGCUAGCGGCAGGCUUAACACAUGCAAGUCGAGGGGCAGCAUAAAUUGUAGCAAUACAAUUGGUGGCGACCGGCGCACGGGUGCGUAACGCGUAUGCAACCUACCCGUCACAGGGGGAUAAUCCGGAGAAAUCUGGUCUAAUACCCCAUAACAGAUGGAUCGGCAUCGGGUCAUGUUGAAAUUUUUGGAGGUGACGGAUGGGCAUGCGUAGCAUUAGCUUGUUGGUGAGGUAACGGCUCACCAAGGCGACGAUGCUUAGGGGGACUGAGAGGUUUUCCCCCCACACUGGUACUGAGACACGGACCAGACUCCUACGGGAGGCAGCAGUGAGGAAUAUUGGUCAAUGGGCGCAAGCCUGAACCAGCCAUGCCGCGUGCAGGAUGACGGCUCUAUGAGUUGUAAACUGCUUUUGUACGAGGGUAAAGUGGGUUACGUGUAACCUUUUGAAAGUAUCGUACGAAUAAGGAUCGGCUAACUCCGUGCCAGCCGCCGCAGUAA